GAAAGGUAUUUCUGUAAAUCAAGACAAAAAGCAGUGGCAUGGAAAUAAUCUGUAAAAACAUGGUCAACAGUUCCUCCCUCACAAUCACAAAAUAGCAUAUGUUGUUUACAUCCUUGCCUGAUGCAGGGAUUUUCUAACCAGAACUUAUAUUAAACAAAUAUGCGGUCUAUUGGAGCAGCAGUUUUUUUGUCUUUCAUACUCUUUGUGAUAUGAGCGUCUCACGAAAACAGCACUUUUUUUUUUUUUUUAUUUAAAAGCGUUUUCUUUUUUAUGAUUAGUAUUGUAUUUUAGUCAGAUUUUCCAUGAAGUCAAAUGUAAGCCAGACUACUGAAAAAAGAAAACGUCUUCCUGUCUUUAUAUCUGAUAUUUUCACAGGAAUUUCAGCUUAACUCAACCAGCUGGAAUUUUUUUUUUUUUUUAAUCAGAAAAAGUUUAAUACUUUUCUCUAAAUCUCAACCAACCCUUUGUUGUUCGUAAUAUCAUAACAAAUUGCGUUUUUACAUUUUAGAUAUUGGUUUUAUAUUUCACAAAAUGAGAGAGGAAAUGAUUACAAGCUACUUCCGGCGGCCAUCUUUGUUUGAAACUGUUCGCGGUCAGCAGCUGUUAAGGAGUUUAACGGACCUUCAAGGUGUAGUGGACGGUUGGUCUGUUUUAAAACUGGAUACAUGUUUUUAGGAGACCUGGAAGUACUGUGAAGACAGCGAUGAAGAUCUUCCCCUGGAGAGUUUCCGGCCUUUUGAUUGGAGGAAUUGGUGUUUGCUGUGAGUUAUGGGGUUCAGCAAGAGGAUGUCACACUGAACUCCUCGGUCUUGCAACGCCCGUUGACGACAGUACUGCGCCGUGGCAGGAGGAGUCAGAGUCUGAAGACACAAGUGUGGUGAAAAAGAGCAGAAAAUACCGUUUACGUGAAGAAUGGCUGCAUGAAUUUGACUGCUUAAGGUAUCUCAGAGAGGAGAAUUCCAAGAACUGCAAAUUUUGGAGGCGACGCCCGC
rnacentral:lncRNA from 1 species